GCUAGCUCAGCAGGUAGAGCACAUCCCUUUUAAGGAUGGGGUCCUGGGUUCGAACCCCAG
rnacentral:tRNA from 1 species